rnacentral:rRNA from 1 species
AGUGAACGCUGGCGGUAGGCCUAACACAUGCAAGUCGAACGGCAGCACAGUAAGAUCUUGCUCUUACGGGUGGCGAGUGGCGGACGGGUGAGGAAUACAUCGGAAUCUACUUUUUCGUGGGGGAUAACGUAGGGAAACUUACGCUAAUACCGCAUAUGAUCUACGGGUGAAAGCAGGGGAUCUUCGGACCUUUCGCGAUUGAAUGAGCCGAUGUCGGAUUAGCUAGUUGGCGGGGUAAAGGCCCACCAAGGCGACGAUCCGUAGCUGGUCUGAGAGGAUGAUCGGCCACACUGGAACUGAGACACGGUCCAGACUCCUACGGGAGGCAGCAGUGGGGAAUAUUGGGCAAUGGGCGCAAGCCUGAUCCAGCCAUACCGCGUGGGUGAAGAAGGCCUUCGGGUUGUAAAGCCCUUUUGUUGGGAAAGAAAAGCAGCAGAUUAAUACCCCGCUGUUCUGACGGUACCCAAAGAAUAAGCACCGGCUAACUUCGUG